rfam:Myotis brandtii contig313997, whole genome shotgun sequence.
CUGUCUCUUGCUUCAACAGUGUUUGGACGGAAGAG